AUAUUCAUUAGGUAAAUUUUUAUUCUACAUUGCCACAUCUAAUGUUAUUGGUAUUUUAAUUAAACAAUUGUUUUUCUUAUUUUACAGAAGGGUUUGGUGCACAAUGCCAUUAAAAAGCUUGUGAGUGAAAAUUAUAAAUAUGACUCUGAAAACAGGUUGAACCCAAUAAAUGCAAAAACAAAUAACAUCCAACCAGUAAACAAACCAAAAUGGGUUUCCCCAUUAAGGUUAACUCCUCCGGACAUUAAUAGACUGCCAGAAGGGUUUGACUUCCGACAACUAUUGAGGCCUACCCAGCAUGCACCCACCGAAUCCUUACGUAAAAGACUGGUACAGAGAUCUAGACCUGUAGCUGCUAACGCUAAAGGAUAACAUAACAACAUUAAAGUUUGCUAUUUCUUGUUAACAGUAUUUACUAUUUUUGUAAUAGUUGAAUUAAUUUAAUAUUUAUGUAUUUAUUACCUAAAAACAAAAUUCAUUUGAGCGCUCUACUAGCCCAAAUGUGGAAGAAAAUUAUUGUUUUUAUUCUAUUUUUAUCUUUUUAAUCACAUAGACAAAAAGAAAAUAUAUUUUUAUAGUUCCUGUUAAGUCCAAUAAAUCGAACCAAAAAUAUGUAUUUUAUUUAUCUAAUUAACUGAUUUUGUCUAUUAUUAAGGUAUACGUGUAAGAUUUUUUAUUAGUAUUUCAACAAUGUUCCUUAAGAAACUUUUUGGUGUUUCUGAAAUUCUUAAAAGGGCCCAAUAUAUUUAUAAUUGUGAAUCACUUAUUAACAUUGCAUAACAUAUUAUUUUAUACUUUUGCCUAUAUUUUUUUUCACACCAUCUAUUAUUAGUCAGUUAGGGUGUUCUGUGUUAUAAUGGAAUGUAAUCCAUCUUAUAUAACAUUCUCAUUAAGAUAAAACAUUGGUG